GACUCCGUAGCUUGUCACCGUAGAAGCGCCCGUCUAGCGAAUUGGGAGUCGUGAGUUCGAGUCUCACCGGAGUAC
rnacentral:tRNA from 1 species